rnacentral:misc_RNA from 1 species
GAUGAAGAACGUAGCGAAAUGCGAUAAGUAGUGUGAAUUGCAGAAUUCAGUGAAUCAUCGAAUCUUUGAACGCACAUUGCGCCCCUUGGUAUCCCGAGGGGCAUGCCUGUUCGAGCGUCAUUUCACCACUCAAGCCUGGCUUGGUGUUGUGCGACGUCCUCUUUGGGGACGCGCCUCGAAACGCUCGGCGGCGUGGCACCGGCUUUAAGCGUAGCAGAAUCUUUCGCUUUGGAAGUCGGGGCCCCGUCUGCCGGAAGACCUGCUCGCAAGGUUGACCUCGGAUCAGGCAGGGAUACCCGCUGAACUUAAGCAUAUCAAUAAGCGGAGGA